UCUCACCACACCAAAGAUGGCUGCUUCUCACUGCAGGAAACCUUGACUGUCAGAAAUUUAGAUCUUAAUUUGAAGUCUGUGGUUGGUGGAAAUAUCAGACUGCUUUCAUGCUUAUGGUGUUUUUUGUUUGGAAGAAAUUGCACAUUAAAAUUUGAUGAUCCAAUAGUUUUAGUUUUUGUGGAAAAUGCACAGAAGUUCCUUCCAGCUGUUGCAUGAAAAACCUUUAAGAAGAGCUGAAGAAAUGAUAACUGCUGUGGUGAAAAAUGUGUGACAAGUUGCAUCAUUUGGGGAGGUAACCUGAAAAAAACUGUAACCUGCUGCAGGUUUACUUUGAAAACAUCCAGAUGUGAGACUUCUGAUUUGAACAACUGCGACGCUGCGACAUUUGAAUUUCUCCAAAGGCGAAACGAUUAUAUCAAAAGAAGAAAUGUUCUUUCCAUCAGACUAUUUUGAGAUAAUCGUAUGGAUCAACAUCCAUCUCUGCUUUCCUCUCACCUUUCUGGUAAUUCCUCUGUGUUUUAUGGUCCGACUGGAUCACAUUCCUGUCUCCUACUACAUAAACCUCCUCAUAUCCAAUGUGAUCCUGAUCAUCACUCUGAUAUCUGAUAGUGCAUUUAGUCCUAAAUACGAUUAUAAGACCUUCGUACGUCACUGGCCACCCUACUUGUGCUUUGGGGUGGCCAGCGCUUGCUUCAAGAUGAUUUUUGCAGUAGAAAGGUUUCUUUUCCUCUACAGGCCACAGUUUCACUUCAUAAGAAAGACAAAAGGCUUUAUAACAUUCUGUGUUUUGGCCUGGAUUAUUUGUAUUGUUCUUUUUGCUAUUUUAAUCUCUUCCCCCUAUUAUACAAGAAUAAUAUCUGUUGUCUUCACUGCCAGCAUGUUCAUCAUCUGUCUAGCUUUAACUCUCAAAUCUCUCUGUCGCCACCUCAGAAUCGGCUGAAGAAAAGUACAGAGUUGUUGGAGCAUUAGUUCUGUUGCUGGUUAAUUACAUUUUUUUAAUUCUCCCCAUGAUUGAUUUUUCAAUCAUUCCAGAUUUCCGUGAUUUCAACAUGAAGCUAUUUUUUACCUUGAGUCUGCACUGCCCUGUAAUAGAUUUUCUUUUGCUGGGUUUUAUGUCCAAAGGGCCUUUUAUCAGGCUGCUGAUGCGUCUCUGCUGCUGCAGGAAGAGGAAUCCUGCAGAGAACGACAGCAGCAGAUCAGCUGUUGGAUUAUAGUACAGAUUAUAGCUGGGCUCAGAGACAGAGACUAAGGACACAGGAAGGACGGUGUGAGAUUAGAGAGAAAACCACUUUCCAGCGCAGAAGUGGUUUGUUACAAAGUUUGUUACAAACUCCGGGUUUUAAGCUGCUUUCACACCUCGACUGGUUCUCUCCAUUUCUAUUAAAGAACUUCAUCUCAACUGAACAUCACAGAACAAGAAAUGGAUUCUUCAGAUUUUGUUUACGUGAUGAUUUGGAUCAACAUCCGUGUCUGCAUCCCAUUCACCUUGAUAGUUUUUGCUCUGGGUUGUGUAGUCAGAUUGGAUGGUUUUUCUGUCACCUUCUACAUGAACCUUCUCGUCUCCAACCUGAUCCAACUCGGUGGUUUGGUUAUUUUAAUGGUGAAGAUGAAUGAAAAUAAUUUCCGUAUCAUCUGCUACGUUGUCAUCGGCUGUGGCGCUUUGGCCAGUCUUUGUUUCAGGACAGUCAUUGCUCUGGAAAGGUGCCUUUACAUAUCCAAGCCACAGUGUCAUUUCAUGAGACAGUGGAAAGGUUUAGUGACUGUCAGUGUUUGCGGAUGGAUUUUUUCUGGUGUCAUCGUCUUUCUUUUAUUCGCUUUUUAUCCCAAUUUGCUCCAGAUCUAUCUUUUGCUCCUUGCUACCCUGGUAACCAUCAUCCUUCUUGCUGUGACUCUUAAGUCACUGUGUAAAGCUUCCUCGAUGCCCGUCAAAGAAAAAUGCAGAAACAUAGGAAUGUUAGUUCUGUUGCUGGUUAAUCACAUAGUGACUAUUUUACCAACAGUUGCUUAUCUUUUUUAUUUACGCUUAUAUUUCUAUCCGAAUAAAUAUGAAUAUUUCAGGCAAAUGGAGCCAUCAUUGUUCACAAAUAUCAUUUUCACUUUGAGUCUCCACGGUCCUGUCAUGGACUUGAUUCUGUUUGCUUUCAUGUCCAAAGGGCCUUUCAUUAAGCUCCUGAUGCGUCUCUGCUGCUGCAGGAAGGAAGCAGCUGCAGCAAAUGACAUCAGCAGCUCAUCAGUUUGACUAAAUCAAGUAGGGAAGAGAAACAAAAAACAAAAACAAAUAUAUGACAAAUAGGCCUUUAUUUCAGGUUAAAGAAACAUUGAUCCUAAAAAUUCAAAGGUUGAAUUGCAGUUUCUGGAACCAGAACUAUAUGUGUAUAUUUACUUCCAUAAAAAUGUUUUGGUUUUAUUGGCAGCCAAAUGAUUUAUAUUAAAUAUUUCAAUUAUUUGUUUUUGCUUCUUAUAAAUGUUUGGUUCUGAGUUUUUCUUGUUGUGUUUCAGAGGCUGCUGCCUCACUGAGGCACUUUGUGAACUUAUUGCUAAAAACACAGAUGAGUAAUUCUGUGUUGUUUUUUUUUUUAAACAUUUACACUGUACACAUCAUAUUGUGAUUUAAAAGAAAAAAAAUGCUUUGUUUCUUUUAGCAUCGGUGCAGAAAUAUCUUCUAAAGUUUCUGAAAUUGUAACGAUUAGCUGAUAAAUUGUAAAUAUAUUUUUAGUUUUGUUUUAACUAAAAUUACUGUUGUGAAUUAUGAUCUGAUCAGUUUGUUAAGGCAGAAGAAAUUAUUAUUUAGUCAAUGGAACCUAAAUCUAUUUUAAGCUUUGACAAUAGCUUAAAACUUUGUUUUUAAGAUGUUUUAGUUUUGUUUUAUUUGCGCUAAACAAAAUGCUGCAAAUUAGCUUAGCUAUAAGUACAAUGAUACAUGAUAGAACUGCUUUUUUAUUUGGUUUAUUUAUGUAAAUUUGUGUCUGUUCCUGUCAAAUCAACCUAAUUGUAUUGAGUUGAAAAUCUAAUUGCGUUUGGAAAAAAUUAACAGCAACAUUAAGUUUUUUCAGUCUGUGAUUUAUUUCUUUUUUAAAUUUGAUAAUUUAGUUGUACAUUAAGAGCAGAAAGCAUCUUACAGCUCUACUGAAACUGAAAUGAAAUGUAAAUCAACGAUGUUACAUGUAAGUUAGCUGAAGUUUAUUUUCAUGAAAUACUUUUGAAUUCAUUUUAGCUCUGUAUAAAUAAAGAUCAGUUUCAGCCUGUU